rnacentral:lncRNA from 1 species
UGGCUUGCAAUUUUCUAUGAACUAUGAGAUGCGGAUUUACUUAUUUUGAUAGGGCUGCAGCCCUAUCAAACCAUUUUCCCUCUCAAACAUGAAAGUUCUCUUUAUGAAAACCUCAAACCUCUCCCUCAUAACACACACUCAAUCUCUCUCUCUCUCUCUCUCUUUCUCUCUCAUGCCCAUUACAAAAGUCCUCAAGUAAAGCACGCCAGUACACCAACUCUGUAGAUUUGACGUUUUUUUUAUUUGACCACGUAGGUUAUACCACCCCUGUUGAUUUGACUUUUUUUUUUAUUUGAAAAAUCUUCAAGUAAAACACGCCACACCACUUGGGUACCCCAUCCCACUGGGGCCAGCCCCAUCGUUGCAACCCUAUGC